rnacentral:rRNA from 1 species
AGAUUAAGUUAUUAAGGGCGCACGGUGGAUGCCUUGGCACUAGAAGCCGAUGAAGGACGUUACUAACGACGAUAUGCUUUGGGGAGCUGUAAGUAAGCUGUGAUCCAGAGAUUUCCGAAUGGGGGAACCCAGCACGAGUUAUGUCGUGUUAUCCGCAUGUGAAUACAUAGCAUGUGAGAAGGUAGACCCGGAGAACUGAAACAUCUUAGUACCCGGAGGAAGAGAAAGAAAAAUCGAUGCCCUGAGUAGCGGCGAGCGAAACGGGAAGAGCCCAAACCAACAAGCUUGCUUGUUGGGGUUGUAGGACACUCUGUACGGAGUUACAAAGGAAUAUGUUAGACGAAUAACCUGGAAAGGUUAAUCAUA